GGGUUGUGAGGUUAAGCGACUAAGCGUACACGGUGGAUGCCCUGGCAGUCAGAGGCGAUGAAGGACGUGCUAAUCUGCGAUAAGCGUCGGUAAGGUGAUAUGAACCGUUAUAACCGGCGAUUUCCGAAUGGGGAAACCCAGUGUGAUUCGUCACACUAUCAUUAACUGAAUCCAUAGGUUAAUGAGGCGAACCGGGGGAACUGAAACAUCUAAGUACCCCGAGGAAAAGAAAUCAACCGAGAUUCCCCCAGUAGCGGCGAGCGAACGGGGAGCAGCCCAGAGCCUGAAUCAGUGUGUGUGUUAGUGGAAGCGUCUGGAAAGGCGUGCGAUACAGGGUGACAGCCCCGUACACAAAAAUGCACAUACUGUGAGCUCGAUGAGUAGGGCGGGACACGUGGUAUCCUGUCUGAAUAUGGGGGGACCAUCCUCCAAGGCUAAAUACUCCUGACUGACCGAUAGUGAACCAGUACCGUGAGGGAAAGGCGAAAAGAACCCCGGCGAGGGGAGUGAAAAAGAACCUGAAACCGUGUACGUACAAGCAGUGGGAGCACGCUUAGGCGUGUGACUGCGUACCUUUUGUAUAAUGGGUCAGCGACUUAUAUUCUGUAGCAAGGUUAACCGAAUAGGGGAGCCGAAGGGAAACCGAGUCUUAACUGGGCGUUAAGUUGCAGGGUAUAGACCCGAAACCCGGUGAUCUAGCCAUGGGCAGGUUGAAGGUUGGGUAACACUAACUGGAGGACCGAACCGACUAAUGUUGAAAAAUUAGCGGAUGACUUGUGGCUGGGGGUGAAAGGCCAAUCAAACCGGGAGAUAGCUGGUUCUCCCCGAAAGCUAUUUAGGUAGCGCCUCGUGAAUUCAUCUCCGGGGGUAGAGCACUGUUUCGGCAAGGGGGUCAUCCCGACUUACCAACCCGAUGCAAACUGCGAAUACCGGAGAAUGUUAUCACGGGAGACACACGGCGGGUGCUAACGUCCGUCGUGAAGAGGGAAACAACCCAGACCGCCAGCUAAGGUCCCAAAGUCAUGGUUAAGUGGGAAACGAUGUGGGAAGGCCCAGACAGCCAGGAUGUUGGCUUAGAAGCAGCCAUCAUUUAAAGAAAGCGUAAUAGCUCACUGGUCGAGUCGGCCUGCGCGGAAGAUGUAACGGGGCUAAACCAUGCACCGAAGCUGCGGCAGCGACGCUUAUGCGUUGUUGGGUAGGGGAGCGUUCUGUAAGCCUGUGAAGGUGUGCUGUGAGGUAUGCUGGAGGUAUCAGAAGUGCGAAUGCUGACAUAAGUAACGAUAAAGCGGGUGAAAAGCCCGCUCGCCGGAAGACCAAGGGUUCCUGUCCAACGUUAAUCGGGGCAGGGUGAGUCGACCCCUAAGGCGAGGCCGAAAGGCGUAGUCGAUGGGAAACAGGUUAAUAUUCCUGUACUUGGUGUUACUGCGAAGGGGGGACGGAGAAGGCUAUGUUGGCCGGGCGACGGUUGUCCCGGUUUAAGCGUGUAGGCUGGUUUUCCAGGCAAAUCCGGAAAAUCAAGGCCGAGGCGUGAUGACGAGGCACUACGGUGCUGAAGCAACAAAUGCCCUGCUUCCAGGAAAAGCCUCUAAGCAUCAGGUAACAUCAAAUCGUACCCCAAACCGACACAGGUGGUCAGGUAGAGAAUACCAAGGCGCUUGAGAGAACUCGGGUGAAGGAACUAGGCAAAAUGGUGCCGUAACUUCGGGAGAAGGCACGCUGAUACGUAGGUGAAGCGACUUGCUCGUGGAGCUGAAAUCAGUCGAAGAUACCAGCUGGCUGCAACUGUUUAUUAAAAACACAGCACUGUGCAAACACGAAAGUGGACGUAUACGGUGUGACGCCUGCCCGGUGCCGGAAGGUUAAUUGAUGGGGUUAGCGCAAGCGAAGCUCUUGAUCGAAGCCCCGGUAAACGGCGGCCGUAACUAUAACGGUCCUAAGGUAGCGAAAUUCCUUGUCGGGUAAGUUCCGACCUGCACGAAUGGCGUAAUGAUGGCCAGGCUGUCUCCACCCGAGACUCAGUGAAAUUGAACUCGCUGUGAAGAUGCAGUGUACCCGCGGCAAGACGGAAAGACCCCGUGAACCUUUACUAUAGCUUGACACUGAACAUUGAGCCUUGAUGUGUAGGAUAGGUGGGAGGCUUUGAAGUGUGGACGCCAGUCUGCAUGGAGCCGACCUUGAAAUACCACCCUUUAAUGUUUGAUGUUCUAACGUGGACCCGUGAUCCGGGUUGCGGACAGUGUCUGGUGGGUAGUUUGACUGGGGCGGUCUCCUCCUAAAGAGUAACGGAGGAGCACGAAGGUUGGCUAAUCCUGGUCGGACAUCAGGAGGUUAGUGCAAUGGCAUAAGCCAGCUUGACUGCGAGCGUGACGGCGCGAGCAGGUGCGAAAGCAGGUCAUAGUGAUCCGGUGGUUCUGAAUGGAAGGGCCAUCGCUCAACGGAUAAAAGGUACUCCGGGGAUAACAGGCUGAUACCGCCCAAGAGUUCAUAUCGACGGCGGUGUUUGGCACCUCGAUGUCGGCUCAUCACAUCCUGGGGCUGAAGUAGGUCCCAAGGGUAUGGCUGUUCGCCAUUUAAAGUGGUACGCGAGCUGGGUUUAGAACGUCGUGAGACAGUUCGGUCCCUAUCUGCCGUGGGCGCUGGAGAACUGAGGGGGGCUGCUCCUAGUACGAGAGGACCGGAGUGGACGCAUCACUGGUGUUCGGGUUGUCAUGCCAAUGGCACUGCCCGGUAGCUAAAUGCGGAAGAGAUAAGUGCUGAAAGCAUCUAAGCACGAAACUUGCCCCGAGAUGAGUUCUCCCUGACCCUUUAAGGGUCCUGAAGGAACGUUGAAGACGACGACGUUGA
rnacentral:rRNA from 1 species